GCCUGUUUGGCUCAGUGGUAGUAGCGUCACGCUUGUAUCGCACCUGCGACCACGUGACGGUCACUGGUUCGAUCCCAGUAACAGGCA
rnacentral:tRNA from 1 species